GUUCUCCAACACGCGAAAAAGGUAGACGAGGACUGGUUUUCUUUGCAGCUAAAAUGAAUCAAGCCUCUGACUGCAGAAAGCAGGGACUUAGCUGAGAAAAUUAAUCGUGCACUCAUUCAGCAAAGGUUUCAGGGCCUGCUGUGUGGAGACACGGUUCCAAGCACUGCUGCAGUAGCAGGGAGGAAACAGAACGGACCUCAAACGCUGUCCCAGCAAGGACUCCAGUCUCUGCCUUGUGGAUGUGUAACUGGCACAUGAUGUACCAGAAACUCCUGUGUGUGGUUGUAUCCGGUGCGUGACACAGUACUCUCUCCAGCUGCUCCUUGGAUUUGGGAAGCAGCCGAAGAUUUACGGGCCAUGGAGGCUCCUUCUAUCCCUGGAAAUCGGCCCUUGGGAAUUAAGCUGAGUUAUGUGGUUAAAGCCGUCAUGACAGCCAUCCCCUGGCUGGGCCAGUUCUGGGAAUAACUAUAAUGCUUAUACUACAGGAUGGCCAAUUCAGAACUUCUUACUAGUGCUGAAUUCAAU
rnacentral:lncRNA from 1 species